UACGUAGGGUGCGAGCGUUAAUCGGAAUUACUGGGCGUAAAGCGUGCGCAGGCGGUUCGUUGUGUCGGCGGUGAAAGCCCCGGGCUCAACCUGGGAAUGGCCGUUGAAACUGGCGAACUGGAGUGUGGCAGGAGGGGGGUGGAAUUCCGCGUGUAGCAGUGAAAUGCGUAGAGAUGCGGAGGAACACCGAUGGCGAAGGCAGCCCCCUGGGCUGACACUGACGCUCAUGCACGAAAGCGUGGGGAGCAAACAGG
rnacentral:rRNA from 1 species